CCUACGGGAGGCUGCAGUGGGGAAUAUUGGACAAUGGGGGGAACCCUGAUCCAGCGACGCCGCGUGAGUGAAGAAGUAUUUCGGUAUGUAAAGCUCUAUCAGCAGGGAAGAAAAUGACGGUACCUGACUAAGAAGCCCCGGCUAACUACGUGCCAGCAGCCGCGGUAAGACGUAGGGGGCAAGCGUUAUCCGGAUUUACUGGGUGUAAAGGGAGCGUAGACGGUGCAGCAAGUCUGAUGUGAAAGGUCGGGGCUCAACCCCGGGACUGCAUUUGAAACUGUUGAACUGGAGUACAGGAGAGGUAAGCGGAAUUCCUAGUGUAGCGGUGAAAUGCGUAGAUAUUAGGAGGAACACCAGUGGCGAAGGCGGCUUACUGGACUGUAACUGACGUUGAGGCUCGAAAGCGUGGGGAGCAAACAGGAUUAGAUACCCCUGUAGUC
rnacentral:rRNA from 1 species